rnacentral:rRNA from 1 species
CAGUCGCCACGGUAAUAUGUAGGGUGCAAGCGUUAAUCGGAAUUACUGGGCGUAGAGCGUGCGCAGGCGGUUUGUUAAGACAGAUGUGAAAUCCCCGGGCUCAACCUGGGAACUGCAUUUGUGACUGGCAAGCUAGAGUGUGGCAGAGGGGGGUGGAAUUCCGCGUGUAGCAGUGAAAUGCGUAGAUAUGCGGAGGAACACCGAUGGCGAAGGCAGCCCCCUGGGCCAACACUGACGCUCAUGCACGAAAGCGUGGGGAGCAAACAGGAUUAGAUACCCGUGUAGUCCCUGUCUCUUAUAC